ensembl:lncRNA
GUUUUUUUUCCUUUCCAAGCGGUCGUGCAGGAAGAGGUGAGACCCACCAAACCACAGUUUGCCUCGCUCCCUGUGAGCAAUGCUGUUGAUAUAACGACCCAGCUCAGACAGGGAAGGAUUUCUAGUGGCUGCCACUGAUUUCCUACAGGAGGGCACUGUGGAAGGAAGGAGAGGUGGUACGCAUGGGGAAAGAUCAAAGUGCUUUCAGAGAUCUGCAGUAGUAUCGCAUUCUUCUUUCGAUUACGUGAGUGCAGCUGAAGACCUGGAGCAGCAGUGAUGAGGUGCAUGCACUGCAGCUACUCCCUUCCCUAUUCUCAUAGGAAGCUCAUGCGUUGAGGGAAGAAGUUCCCAGAGCUUUCUGUGCUGGUGAAAGAGGCAGCUGUGCUAAUUCUGAUACCGAGUAUUCUCUUACAAACUGAGAUGCUGCAAAACUCCUCAGAAGAGCAGAAAAGGAAGACUUACACCUCUGUCUGACACAGUUAAAAUCUCUCCCUGUGCACUUAUCAGCUUGCAUAUCUCUGUGAAACUCUGUGCUUCAGCGAGGGCUACAUCACUAGGCAACUACUGCAAAGAAACAUGAGUUCUACAGGAUUUCAGGGAAGAAUUCUUCCUCUACUUUUGUUCACUUCUGAGUUUGUUUCUUGGCACCCUCUUCCUUAAUGUGAGGUCAGCCAGAGUACUUUCACAGUUUUUCCUGUCUGUUUUGUCGUUUGUUUCUGUUUCGCAGGCUUACAGCUCCGAAGUCUUUCCAAGAGAGAAGAGAAACCAAACUGGAAGAUGAGAGCAUUGCACAGGCACCAAAUGCUGUUUCUGUUCAACCUUUGUUUCAUCGAGAAAACACCAAGAGACAGGAUAGAAGCAUGAAGGUGGUAAUUAACCACAUAGCUGAUUUUGGACUGUUACCAUGCUACCAGAAAAACAUGCUGGGAGAAGCCAUCAUCCACCGUGAAUGAGUUUUCUUGUAUAUGGAAUCCACUUGUUUAAUAGGGCUCUUUUUGAGACUCAAUGAGACUCACUUUAAACAAUAACAGAAUCACAAAAUCACAGAGUUGUAGGAGUUGGAAAGGACCUCUAGAAAUCAUCGAGUCCAACCUCUUCUGCUAAAGGAGUUCCCUGCAGCAGGUCACACAGGAAAGUGUCCAGGCUUUCUUUGUCUAUUUUCAGGUCUUAUCUCUAUAUGAACACUGAUAGCAGAUAAAUCAAGACAACAGCUUCCUUCAUUUUUAGGAGUUUUGUUAAAAUUGACUUUCUCCCUCUGACAUGAAUAUCAGUUUAUAUCUCAAUCAAAUCUGGAAUUGUAGUUUAGAGAGAAAAUACAUAAAAUAUGCGUAGAAGAUUUUCCUAUGUCAUCCCUCUCACAGACACUUUCUGUUACUUUUAGAUUUAUUUCAGAUUAUUGUUUACUUCGCAAUCAUUAAUAAUUUACAGAAGUAAAGGCUUUUGUUUGUUAGUGAUUUGUCAUAACUGGAAUAAUGAAAAUAAUUAUAUAUAUCUCCAGUUCUUCAGUUUUGUAAAGUUCUGCUAAACUCAAGUGUUCAAGCUGUAAUAUAUCUCUUCUACUUUGGGUCUUACCAUUGAAUGACCUGACCUUUUAAUAAAGAUUUUUGUUUCCUAUGGUGCUUGAUUUCUUUGGCUAAGUAAUAAAAAGUAUGUGACACUUAAGAGCUUCCUACUUCCCUACUCUCUCUUAUAGUAGAGUGCUUAUGUAAUGAAGAGUGAUUGCUUGCAAGUCCAGAGAA